GACGAACGCUGGCGGCGUGCUUAACACAUGCAAGUCGAACGGUGAACCUCUUCGGAGGGGAUCAGUGGCGAACGGGUGAGUAACACGUGGGCAACCUGCCCCCGGCUCUGGGAUAACUCCAAGAAAUUGGGGCUAAUACCGGAUGUUCACCGCUUCCCGCAUGGGUGGUGGUGGAAAGGGUUUCCGGCUGGGGAUGGGCCCGCGGCCUAUCAGCUUGUUGGUGGGGUAGUGGCCUACCAAGGCGACGACGGGUAGCCGGCCUGAAAGGGUGGCGGGCCAUACUGAUACUGAGACACGACGCAGACUCCAUCCGGAGACUGCAGUGGCGAUUCUUGCGCAUUGGGCGGAGGACUAUCGCGACGACGCCGCGUGGGGUGUGUCGGCCUUCGGGGUGUAAACCUCUAACGGCAGUGUCGAAGCGAAAGUGACGGUUCCUGCAGAAGAGGCUCCGGCCAACUAGGUG
rnacentral:rRNA from 1 species